UACAGAGGGUGCAAGCGUUAAUCGGAAUUAUUGGGCGUAAAGAGCUCGUAGGCGGUCUGUUGCGUCGGCUGUGAAAACCCGGGGCUCAACCCCGGGCCUGCAGCCGAUACGGGCAGACUAGAGUUCGGCAGGGGAGACUGGAAUUCCUGGUGUAGCGGUGAAAUGCGCAGAUAUCAGGGGGAACACCGGUGGCGAAGGCGGGUCUCUGGGCCGAUACUGACGCUGAGGAGCGAAAGCGUGGGGAGCGAACAGG
rnacentral:rRNA from 1 species